rnacentral:rRNA from 1 species
UGUUGCAUGGCUGUCGUCAGCUCGUGUCGUGAGAUGUUGGGUUAAGUCCCGCAACGAGCGCAACCCUCAUCCUUAGUUACCAUCAGGUAAUGCUGGGGACUUUAAGGAAACUGCCAGUGAUAAACUGGAGGAAGGUGGGGAUGAUGUCAAGUCAUCAUGGCCCUUAUGGAGUGGGCUACACACGUGCUACAAUGGUGGCUACAAUGGGCUGCAAAGUCGCGAGGCUAAGCUAAUCCCUUAAAAGCCAUCUCAGUUCGGAUUGUACUCUGCAACUCGAGUGCAUGAAGUUGGAAUCGCUAGUAAUCGUGGAUCAGCACGCCACGGUGAAUACGUUCUCGGGUC